GGAGGCUCCGCCCCCAGCCCGAGACUUGGCGCCGUCCGACCCGGGAGCGAGCGCCCCUUUGCACCCUUCUCCAAGGAUGGCCCCGCGGGGCUCUGCAGGGGCGAGUUUCGGUUUCCCAUAACGUGCGCGUAGGGAACUAGCAUCCAGGUCACCACCUUGUGCCUGCCUGCUAGGGAGAAAAUGGGAAAUGGAAUAGGAAGAAAAGACCUCGAAGAACACCUGUGGCUUUCUGGGUGCUCCUUCCUCCUCCCCAGAGAGGCAGUGAGUCCAGUAACUCCAGCAGGUCCUCCUCCUCCAGGGAGCCCAUCAGAAUUCGCCCGUGAGCCUCCACCCAGCCCAGCACAGAGAAGGAGGCUGGUUCUCCUUGAGAUUCCUGGGCUCACCUAGUUGACAUGGCAGGACUGGGCAGGUGGGGUGAGGGUGGGGAGAAGACAUGUGUUUGAGAUUUGCCUUCUGUGUGAGAAAUGGAGAAUGUUAACAGGGAUAUUAAAAAAUAAAUAAACAAA